GGAGCUACGUCACCGUCGACUUCCACCAGACAAAUAUAACGCCAACACGUAGAGGAGGAAGAUACGAACACUUUUAUCGGAUUAGAUUUUUUAUUGGAGUUACGAAUCACAAGAAAUCAAAGCCGGAAAGUUUUGGGAAGCUCACGGUUUCUUUUCUUUCUUUUGGUUAUAUGUAUAUAUACAUAUGCUGAAAUGCAUAUAAGUAAGUUUCUUUUCCUUUUUCCC
rnacentral:lncRNA from 1 species